UCUUAUCAAGAGCGGCGGAGGGAACAGGCCCUGUGAUGUCCGGCAACCUGCAAGUGCAAGGUGCUAAAUCCUGCGGUAUUACCGAAAGAUGAG
rnacentral:ncRNA from 1 species